rnacentral:rRNA from 1 species
AGAGUCUGAUUCUGGCUCAGGAAACGCUGGCGGCGUGCUUAACACAUGCAAGUCGUACGGUAAGGCCCUUCGGGGUACACGAGUGGCGAACGGGUGAGUAACACGUGGGUGAUCUGCCCUGCACUUUGGGAUAAGCCUGGGAAACUGGGUCUAAUACCGAAUACACCCUGCUGGUCGCAUGGCCUGGUGGGGGAAAGCCUUUGCGGUGUGGGAUGGGCCCGCGGCCUAUCAGCUUGUUGGUGGGGUGAUGGCCUACCAAGGCGACGACGGGUAGCCGGCCUGAGAGGGUGUCCGGCCACACUGGGACUGAGAUACGGCCCAGACUCCUACGGGAGGCAGCAGUGGGGAAUAUUGCACAAUGGGCGCAAGCCUGAUGCAGCGACGCCGCGUGAGGGAUGACGGCCUUCGGGUUGUAAACCUCUUUCAAUAGGGACGAAGCGCAAGUGACGGUACCUAUAGAAGAAGCACCGGCCAACUACGUGCCAGCAGCCGCGGUAAUACGUAGGGUGCGAGCGUUGUCCGGAAUUACUGGGCGUAAAGAGCUCGUAGGUGGUUUGUCGCGUUGUUCGUGAAAACUCACAGCUUAACUGUGGGCUGCGGGCGAUACGGGCAGACUGGAGUACUGCAGGGGAGACUGGAAUUCCUGGUGUAGCGGUGGAAAGCGCAGAUAUCAGGAGGAACACCGGUGGCGAAGGCGGGUCUCUGGGCAGUAACUGACGCUGAGGAGCGAAAGCGUGGGGAGCGAACAGGAUUAGAUACCCUGGUAGUCCACGCCGUAAACGGUGGGUACUAGGUGUGGGUUUCCUUCCUUGGGAUCCGUGCCGUAGCUAACGCAUUAAGUACCCCGCCUGGGGAGUACGGCCGCAAGGCUAAAACUCAAAGAAAUUGACGGGGGCCCGCACAAGCGGCGGAGCAUGUGGAUUAAUUCGAUGCAACGCGAAGAACCUUACCUGGGUUUGACAUGCACAGGACGCCGGCAGAGAUGUCGGUUCCCUUGUGGCCUGUGUGCAGGUGGUGCAUGGCUGUCGUCAGCUCGUGUCGUGAGAUGUUGGGUUGAGUCCCGCAACGAGCGCAACCCUUGUCUCAUGUUGCCAGCACGUUAUGGUGGGGACUCGUGAGAGACUGCCGGGGUCAACUCGGAGGGAGGUGGGGAUGACGUCAAGUCAUCAUGCCCCUUAUGUCCAGGGCUUCACACAUGCUACAAUGGCCGGUACAAAGGGCUUCGAUGCCGUGAGGUGGAGCGAAUCCUUUAAAGCCGGUCUCAGUUCGGAUCGGGGUCUGCAACUCGACCCCGUGAAGUCGGAGUCGCUAGUAAUCGCAGAUCAGCAACGCUGCGGUGAAUACGUUCCCGGGCCUCGUACACACCGCCCGUCACGUCGUGAAAGUCGGUAACACCCGAAGCCCGUGGCCUAACCCGUAAGGGAGGGAGCGGUCGAAGGUGGGAUCGGCGAUUGGGACGAAGUCGUAACAAGGUA